rnacentral:tRNA from 1 species
GCAUUCGUCGGAACUGUUCGGAAAGCUCUUUUAAUGCCCUCCGAAGGCAAAGGUCACACGUUCGAAUCGUGUCGGGUGCGCCA